rnacentral:rRNA from 1 species
CGUAGGGUGCGAGCGUUAAUCGGAAUUACUGGGCGUAAAGCGUGCGCAGGCGGUUUUGUAAGACAGGCGUGAAAUCCCCGGGCUCAACCUGGGAACUGCGUUUGUGACUGCAAGGCUAGAGUACGGCAGAGGGGGGUGGAAUUCCACGUGUAGCAGUGAAAUGCGUAGAGAUGUGGAGGAACACCAAUGGCGAAGGCAGCCCCCUGGGUCGAUACUGACGCUCAUGCACGAAAGCGUGGGUAGCAAACAGGAUUAGAUACCCUGGUAGUCCACGCCCUAAACGAUGUCAACUAGGUGUUGGGUGGGUAAAACCAUUUAGUACCGGAGCUAACGCGUGAAGUUGACCGCCUGGGGAGUACGGCCGCAAGGUUA